UACGUAGGGGGCUAGCGUUGUCCGGAAUCAUUGGGCGUAAAGAGCGUGUAGGCGGUCCGGUAAGUCCGCUGUGAAAGUCGGGGGCUCAACCCUCGAAUGCCGGUGGAUACUGUCGGGCUAGAGUGCGGAAGAGGCGAGUGGAAUUCCUGGUGUAGCGGUGAAAUGCGCAGAUAUCAGGAGGAACACCGGUGGCGAAGGCGGUUCUCUGGGCCUUACCUGACGCUGAGGAGCGAAAGCAUGGGGAGCAAACAGG
rnacentral:rRNA from 1 species